UUGUCCGCUCGAGCCUCUUCUAGCGUAGCCCUGCCGGAUGCGCAUUUUCCUAUCGGCCGCAGCCUUAUGGCCUGGUCCGCAUGGGUCCGGAGGCCCUGACUGACUGACUGACUGACCUGGCAGCCCAUGUAGUUCUCCGGUUUUCCAAUUAGCCCAACGGAUCAAGAGCAAACUUCAGUCCAAGUGGUUGCUGGAGAACUUUUUGGUGGCCUUUAGAGCUUAUAUCUUUCCUUUUCAGUUUGACAUUAGAGCAUGUCCCAUCUUUUCUUUUCUUUUUUUCUCAUGGAAGUGAAGUAGACACCUGAAAGACGAAGGGAAGACGCGCAAGUCAACAAACGAUCGCCGUUUUGGCUUCGGAAAAGGACAGCUUCUUUUGGCAAGCAUCCGCGCGCUGUCGCCCGUCACGUCGAUGGGCACUGGGAAAGAUCCGCCGUGCCGGAGUCAAUGCCGCCUGAUUUGUCA
rnacentral:lncRNA from 1 species